ACGCUUCUCCUAAAGACUAAGUCAUGCAUGUCUUCGAAUAAGUAGGAAGCAAUUCUCUCUGAAUCUGCGAACGGCUCCGCAAACCAGUUGUAAACCACAGCAAGCCCGCGACGGUCGGACUUCGGUCUGGCCUGAGCGAUACGGAUAACCCUGGUAAUUCUAAGGCUAAUACGUGUAUGGUAACACCCGGUGGACCGGCUUCGGCUGGGAAAUCGGGAGACGAGUGAUGGAAUGUUUGGACUUACCAGGAACGGGGC
rnacentral:rRNA from 1 species